AACGAACGCUGGCGGCAUGCCUAACACAUGCAAGUCGAACGAGACCUUCGGGUCUAGUGGCGCACGGGUGCGUAACGCGUGGGAACCUGCCCUUAGGUUCGGAAUAACUCCCCGAAAGGGGUGCUAAUACCGGAUAAUGUCUUCGGACCAAAGAUUUAUCGCCUUUGGAUGGGCCCGCGUUGGAUUAGCUAGUUGGUAGGGUAAAAGCCUACCAAGGCGACGAUCCAUAGCUGGUCUGAGAGGAUGAUCAGCCACACUGGGACUGAGACACGGCCCAGACUACUACGGGAGGCAGCAGUGGGGAAUAUUGGACAAUGGGCGAAAGCCUGAUCCAGCAAUGCCGCGUGAGUGAUGAAGGCCGUAGGGUUGUAAAGCUCUUUUACCCGGGAUGAUAAUGACAGUACCGGGAGAAUAAGCUCCGGCUAACUCC
rnacentral:rRNA from 1 species